rnacentral:rRNA from 1 species
UACGUAGGGUGCGAGCGUUAAUCGGAAUUACUGGGCGUAAAGCGUGCGUAGGCGGCUUUGCAAGACAGAUGUGAAAUCCCCGGGCUCAACCUGGGAACUGCAUUUGUGACUGCAAGGCUAGAGUACGGCAGAGGGGGAUGGAAUUCCGCGUGUAGCAGUGAAAUGCGUAGAUAUGCGGAGGAACACCGAUGGCGAAGGCAAUCCCCUGGGCCUGUACUGACGCUCAUGCACGAAAGCGUGGGGAGCAAACAGG